rnacentral:rRNA from 1 species
GACGAACGCUGGCGGCGUGCUUAACACAUGUAAGUCGAACGGAAAGGCCCUGCUUUUGUGGGGUGCUCGAGUGGCGAACGGGUGAGUAACACGUGAGUAACCUGCCCUUGACUUUGGGAUAACUUCAGGAAACUGGGGCUAAUACCGGAUAGGAGCUCCUGCCGCAUGGUGGGGGUUGGAAAGUUUCGGCGGUUGGGGAUGGACUCGCGGCUUAUCAGCUUGUUGGUGGGGUAGUGGCUUACCAAGGCUUUGACGGGUAGCCGGCCUGAGAGGGUGACCGGCCACAUUGGGACUGAGAUACGGCCCAGACUCCUACGGGAGGCAGCAGUGGGGAAUAUUGCACAAUGGGCGGAAGCCUGAUGCAGCAACGCCGCGUGCGGGAUGACGGCCUUCGGGUUGUAAACCGCUUUCGCCUGUGACGAAGCGUGAGUGACGGUAAUGGGUAAAGAAGCACCGGCUAACUACGUG